GAAAAUCCUUUUUGUUUUUCCAG
rnacentral:miRNA from 1 species